UAGUUAGUCAGCUGGUUGCACGGAGCCUCAUGACGUUUUGGAAAAAGAUGUUCCUUCACUUCUUCCUCCAUUGCAACAAAAGUUUCUUUUGAACCUAUGAUCCAGAUAUGUUGCUGUAUGAAGGAUAAUGUUCAGCUGUGUGUCUUCAUAUCUGGAGGCAAAGUCCGAUUGUAUAUGGUCUUUCAUGGCACCUGCAAUGACGCAUUCUCCAGACAGGAAAAUAACUUAAAUUUCAGAGGCACCACAGAAGACAGUGUGGGUACCUUUUCUCCACUUAGUGCAUCCGUUGGGUCACUUAUCGGGUCAAGUAACUCUCGAACAGUCUCUUGCCACAUCCGAAUCUUUUGGCAUCCAAUGCCACUCCUUUCUGUUUUCUGCCAAAACAGCUUGUUGCUGUUGACAGAAUCGGCCCACCAUCUCAAAAGGUGGAAUUCCACCGGGUGGGCUCAUCAUGAAUGAGCUUUUCCACAGGAACAUUUAAGAGCAUCUGUUUGUCUUUCAGGCUCCUUUUGCAUCUUAUUUGACCUCGAAAACGCAGACAAGGUUGUCCGAAGCCUGGACAAGCAUGUUUUAAUGUCGUCCAGGGCUAAAUCCUGCCAGAUUGUGUCACAAACGGGGUAUCCAAGGGAAAUUUUUGUUGUUAGGGGUUAGGGUUAGAAGUCAUUGUCAGUGGUUAUACCAGCCAUAUUUGGCAUGUUCAUCCCUCCAGCGCUUGAUGGAUAGAAUCCGCCGUAUGGUCUGAGUACAAAGGAAUACAUCCUACACC
ensembl:lncRNA